rnacentral:rRNA from 1 species
UACAGAGGUCCCGAGCGUUAGGCGGAAUCACUGGGCUUAAAGCGUGUGUAGGUGGAUCGUUAAGUACCUUGUGAAAUCCCACGGCUUAACCGUGGAACUGCUUGGUAUACUGGCGGUCUUGAGCCACUUAGGGGUUACCGGAACAAAUGGGGGAGCGGUGAAAUGCGUAGAUAUCAUUUGGAACGCCAAUGGUGAAAACAGGUAACUGGGAGUGUGCUGACACUGAGACACGAAAGCCAGGGGAGCAAACGGG